rnacentral:lncRNA from 1 species
AAAGAUCAGCCACGUGGCAGUCAACCAUGUCUAUCUGACCAAGUUCCAAUGAAAACUCUGGACACCAAGGCUUGGGAGAUAUUUCUCAAAAGACUCCUCUGCGGGAGAGGAGAAUAGAGAAAGAAAGAAAACAACUGUGUAAGCAGACAUCAGUGUAAACCUUAGCACUGUCUCUUGAUGAGAUAAGAGGAGGAUGGCAGUGACAGGAGUGUGGUGGCGAGCCAGUCACCUGCAGUCAACCACGGCUCAUUGCUCUCACCAUGCCUGUUACAUGAAGAGGGAGGGACUCCAGGGCUAUGCACAGAGAGAAGGCCCUGUGUGGACACGGUGACAAGGCGGUUAUCUGCAAGCCAAGGUAGAAACAUGAGAGGAAUCCAAUGCUGCUGCCACCUUGAUCUUGAACUUCCAGUCUCCAGAUCUAUGACACAAUAAAUUUCUCAUUAUGUCACCUAGUCUAUGAUAUUUCAUUACAGCAGCCCCAGCUCACUAACAUAGCUUGAUGAAGUCUCUCACCAUCCUGCUCUGCCUCACCCAGGAUGGGAACCAUCCCUUUGUCCAGCACAUUCAUGCUGUAUGCACGGCCCACCCAUUAGUCACUUAGUAGCUGUCUGGGUUAUCAGAUGACUGUUACAAUAUUGCUGUGCUUUUGUACAAGUAACCCUUAUUUUGACUUAAUGUCCCAAAGCACAAGAGUAACGAUGCUGCCAUACUGUUGUAAAUGCUGUUAAUCUCUUACUGUGCCUAAUUUGUAAAUUAAACUUCAUCGCAGGUAUGUAUGUAUAGGAAAAAGCACUGAAAAACUCUCCAGUUUCAGGCAUCCACUGGGGAUCUUGGAACGCAUCCUCCAAGGAUAAGUGGGGUCUACUGUACAACACUUAAGUAUAACCCUCUUCACUAUUAACCAAAUGAUAUUAAAAUAAGCAAAGAAAAAC